UCCAGAUCAUACAGUGUAUAUACAGUGUUCCAGAUCAUACAGUGUUCCAGAUCAUACAGUGUUCCAGAUCAUACAGUGUAUAUACAGUGUUCCAGAUCAUACAGUGUUCCAGAUCAUACAGUGUAUAUACAGUGUUCCAGAUCAUACAGUGUUCCAGAUCAUACAGUGUAUAUACAGUGUUCCAGAUCAUACAGUGUUCCAGAUCAUACAGUGCAUACACAGUGUUCCAGAUCGUACAGUGUAUAUACAGUGUUCCAUCCAGUCAUAUAAUUAGAAUUAUUCUAACUCUAUGGUUCCAGUACAGUGUUCCAGAUUAUACAGUGUAGCUGUGCUGCUGAGAUCAUACAUUGCAGAGCCAUACUGUGUAUUUAGAAAGAUAUGGUUCUUAUACAGUGUACAGUGUUUAUCCUCAGCAUUGUGCAAUGUUCCCAGUUAUCUGAGUUGAUAUCCAGUCUUAUCAUGGCGAGUCAUUCCUUGUAGAUAUAAAAUGUAUUUACUCCUGUGAAUCAAUGCAUUUAAAAUUCAAAUGUGUUUCUUUAUAUAACAUUGGCCUUCGUGGAUCAGCUAGCUACCUAUAUAGAUCCAUCAUCACCAAAAACAAGCUGAUGUAGCUGAAAUCACAUUACAGCGACCAGUAGCUUAUCUGUUACGCCACAUUUAUGCACUACGUACGCAGUGCAAGUAGUGCACUAUAUAGGGAAUAGGGUUCUAUAGGGCUCUGGUCUAAAGUAGUGCACUAUAUAGGGAAUAGGGUUCUAUAGGGCUCUGGUCUAAAGUAGUGCACUAUAUAGGGAAUAUGGUUCUAUAGGGCUCUGAUCUAAAUUAGUGCACUAUAUAUAGGGAAUACGGUUCUAUAGGGCUCUGGUCAACAUUAGUGUACUAUAUAUAGGGAAUAGGGUUCUAUAGGGCUCUGGUCUAAAGUAGUGUACUAUAUAGGGAAUAUGGUUCUAUAGGGCUCUGAUCUAAAGUAGUGCACUAUAUAGGGAAUAGGGUUCUAUAGGGCUCUGAUCUAAAUUAGUGCACUAUAUAUAGGGAAUACGGUUCUAUAGGGCUCUGGUCAACAUUAGUGUACUAUAUAUAGGGAAUAGGGUUCUAUAGGGCUCUGGUCUAAAGUAGUGUACUAUAUAGGGAAUAUGGUUCUAUAGGGCUCUGAUCUAAAGUAGUGCACUAUAUAGGGAAUAGGGUUCUAUAGGGCUCUGGUCUAAAGUAGUGUACUAUAUAGGGAAUAGGGUUCUAUAGGGCUCUGGUCUAAAGUAGUGCACUAUAUAGGGAAUAGGGUUCUAUGGGGCUCUGGUCUAAAGUAGUGAAUUAUAUAGGGAAUAGGGUUCUAUAGGGCUCUGGUCAACAUUAGUGUACUAUAGAUAGGGAAUAGGGUUCUAUAGGGCUCUGGUCUAAAGUAGUGUACUAUAUAGGGAAUAUGGUUCUAUAGGGCUCUGAUCUAAAGUAGUGCACUAUAUAUAGGGAAUAGGGUUCCAUAGGGCUCUGGUCGCUUUAUAGGGAAUAGGGUUCCAUAGGGCUCUGGUCUAAAGUAGUGCACUAUAUAGGGAAUAGGGUGCCAUUUGGACGCAUCCAGUGAGUAAAUCAAUCUGACCCAGAGUAAAGCAGCCCGGUACGUAAUAACGUUACUCAUGAUACGCCACUGAGAUCAGCUGUGAACAUGGCUCCCCUUAUUAUUUGCUGAGGCACAGCCUGCGUCCCCAAUGGUACCCUAUUCCCUAUUUAGUACAUAAUAGAGUGAAGGGGGUUCCAUUUGGGACUAAGACACAGUGUUCUAGAACCAAAUGGAAUUACCAUGAAACAUUAAACCAUUAGUUGAAAACAGGGUUUUGUUUCAGUCAUUAGGAAAGGUUAGAGUGUAGAUAAGAAAACCAGUUCAGUAAAAUGUGUAAGGAUGCUAUAAAUUGGCAAAAAAAACAUAGUUAUUAAGACAUAAUAUACAGUGCAUUCAGAAAGUAUUCACACCCCUUGACUUUUUCCACAUUUUGUUACGUUAAAACAUUAUUCUAAAAUGGAUUAAAUCGUUUUUCCCCCGUCAUCAAUCUGCACACAAUACCACAUAAUGACAAAGCAAAAAAAUGGGUUUUAGAUUUUUUUUUGCAAAAGUAUAAAAGAAACAAAAACAGAAAUAUCUUAUUUACAUAAGUAUUCAGACCCUUUGCUAUGAGACUCUAAAGUUCAGGUACAUCCUGUUUCCAUUGAUCAUCCUUCUCUGGUCUGAUGAAACCAAGAUCUUUGGCCUGAAUGCCAAGCGUCUGGAGGAAACCUGGCACCAUCCCUACUGGGGAAGCAUGGUGGUGGUAGCAACAUGCUGUGAGGAUGUCUUUCAGCGGCAGGGACUGGGAGACUAGGCAGGAUCGAGGGAAAGAUGAAUGGAGCAAAGUACAGAGAGAUCCUUGAUGAAAACCUGCCCCAGAGCGCUCAGGACCUCAGACUGGGGCGAAGGUUCACCUUCCAAAACGACAACGACCCUAAGCACACAGCCAAGACAACGCAAAAAGUAUAUAUAUUUUUUGAAUAAGGUUGUAACUUAACAAAAUCUGGAAAAAGUCAAGGGGUCUGAAUACUUUCCCGAAUGCACUGUAAGAGUAAAUCAUCAUGAUAGACAAGCGUAUCACAUCAUAUACGGCAUAGGAGCUUGGGUGGAUACAGUUCCACAUUCAUGCCUCUCUCAUAAGUUUGAGAGCAGAACAAAUAGUUUUUCGAUCCCCUAUUGGAAGGAAAGAGCCAGAGAGAGAGGAGAGAGGAGAGAGUAGAGAGAGAGAUGGGAUAGGAGGUGUAGUAGUUAAGAUACCCUGGGUCAGUCAGGGGAAACGUUCAAAGCAACAUACUAGUUUGCAUGCUUAGUUUCCUCUCCUCUCACGAGCAGCUGCUUUGUAUGAGGAAGUUGAAGUCAGAGUGUGG
ensembl:lncRNA